UACGUAGGGUGCAAGCGUUGUCCGGAAUUAUUGGGCGUAAAGAGCUCGUAGGCGGUGUGUCACGUCGGCCGUGAAAACCUGCAGCUUAACUGUGGGCGUGCGGUCGAUACGGGGCAUCACUGGAGUUCGGCAGGGGAGACUGGAAUUCCUGGUGUAGCGGUGAAAUGCGCAGAUAUCAGGAGGAACACCGGUGGCGAAGGCGGGUCUCUGGGCAGUAACUGACGCUGGAGGAGCGAAAGCGUGGGAGGCGAACAGG
rnacentral:rRNA from 1 species